rnacentral:lncRNA from 1 species
GAUAUUAGUAUUUUUCAGUAUCAUUUUGCUUUAGUCCAUUAGACAGAAGCUAAUUCUUUGUUCGUCGAACCAAUGUCUUAAAAAUUAAAUUUUCACCACCAGAUGAGGUAAGCUAUAGUGAUUAAGCGCAUAAGUUUAGCCCUAGUUUCAGUGGAAAAAAAUGUUUGUCAUAUUUUCCGGUAAGUUCACCAUUUCUCGUCAUGUAAUUUUUUUUUGUUUUGUUUUUUUCGUCAUGUAAAUUUUGAAUGUGGAACAUUGCCAUUUAUUAGCAAACACAAGU